rnacentral:lncRNA from 1 species
CACCUAUGGUUCCUAAAACAGAGUUGCAUGCUGCUUGGCCAGGGAUCGUGUAUGUCAGAUGAACCCUUGGGGCUGACUAUCUAGUUAUUAAGGGUGAUUCGGCCAUGAUAGUGAUCCGGAUUCAGGGCUGUACUCGGAAAGGUCACUCUCACCCUUUUUUGCAGGAUAUUUCCACAUUGUUGUCGAGUUAUCUUGCGUGUGUGACUAAGCAUGUCUUCUAAGAGGCGAGCAUUGCAAUGCAAACAAUUAAGUGGC